AGUGAAUAGAUACUCCGGUAGUCCACGCCGUAAACGAUGGAUGCUAGCUGUUAUGAGUAUCGACCCUCGUAGUAGCGUAGCUAACGCGUUAAGCAUCCCGCCUGUGGAGUACGGUCGCAAGACUAAAACAUAAAGGGAAUUGACGGGGACCCGCACAAGCGGUGGAGCGUGUUGUUUAAUUCGAUGGUAAGCGAAGAACCUUACCCAGGGCUUGACAUCCUGCCAAGUUCGCCGAAAGGCGAGUGUGCCUUCGGGCCGCAGUGACAGGUGAUGCAUGGCCGUCGUCAGCUCGUGUCGUGAGAUGUUUGGUUAAGUCCAUCAACGAGCGCAACCCUUAUAGUUAGUUGUAUUUCUCUAGCUAGACUGCCCUGGUAACA
rnacentral:rRNA from 1 species